rnacentral:rRNA from 1 species
AUGAUCAUUUGUGAGGAGUAUGUUUUCAACUCUAUGUAUGUCAAUUCGAGAGUAGAGCGAUCUAUGUCAACCAAGAGCAGAACUCUCUCUAUUUCCGGCACAGGCUUUCUUUCAAUCAAGAAGAAGAUUUUUUCAGAUUUUAUCACUAUCCGGACUGCUAUCUACUAUCUACCUAUCUAGCUACCCGGGCUCGUUGUGAGGCAGGACCCAACCCUCCUCUUCACUCCACUGCUUCAACAGAAAUGGAUCCAUCAUCUGCUACCCAUGAGUAAUAACGUUAUGAAUCUACCACUGAUCCCGAGGGCAAGUAUGAAAAAGAGAGUCAAGCAAGGUUGGAUUCGUAUGUUCCAUUUGAGUAAGCCUCUGAUGCCCUGCGCACAUAGCUUCUUGCAUGCCCGAUGGCAGAUCUCCCAACCUGGAGUAUAUUCCCGGCCCCGUAGCUUAGCUCAAGAUCUUCGUAUUUCAAGUCCACCGGCAUGGGACCUGACCUUGGGAAUAAGCCCCCCCUGUCCUCUAAGAUAUGAGAUCCACCCACACCCAAACCUGGAAAAGCGGCAGGCUCUAGUCGAACUCCAUACCAGAAGAGAAGAGAACCCUUUCCGUUGGAAGAAAGAGAAAAGGGGACGGGCUAUGCACUUCAAGAGAACCAACCCAAGAAGCACUCAAUAA